rnacentral:lncRNA from 10 species
CUGCUAAAAUUAGUUGGAGUUGGGAGGAGGAGCACUGGGGCAUAACCGUCAGCAGCUGCAGCUUGGAGAAGCUGGUUCUCUUGUCUUCAAGAAGGCAGAUCUCUCCCUAGCCUGCUGAGCCUUCUGUGUUUUGGGGAAGAAGGAGACAUGCAUACAAGGAGAAUGCCAGGUGAACGUGAAGACCAUCAUUUGCAAGCCAAGAGAGGCCUGGAGCAGAUCCUUCAGAGCCCUCAGAAGGGACCAACCCUGCUGGCACCUUGAUUUUGGACUUCCAGCCUCCAGAACUAAGAACUUGAUGUAUACCUCCUGACCUGUUCAUCUUGUAGCUGCCUCUUGACAGGUUGCUGACUUCGCCUGGAGGGACUCUAUCAGAUGGAAUCUCCCUCUGUCAUCCCGGCUGGAGUGCAAUGGUGCGUUCUUGGCUCACUGCAACCUCUAUCUCGCAGGCUCAAGUAAUCCUCCCACUUCAGCCUAUUGAGUAACUGGGACCACAGGUGCACACCAUCAUGCCAGGAGAAACAAAUGCCAAACAGUGAAGGUCAAGAAGGCCAUAGUGAUAUAUGCAAGUUCAAAAAGUGGAAGAAGCUUUUACACAGAGAAAUAUCAAUCAGCCAGCUUUUCAUGGCUGAUGCCUGAAAAUAUCAUCCACCUGUGUCUCUGAGCAUACUUUGGCUUUGACUCCUAGUGAUAUUACAUGUAAUGUCAUGGCUAGAUAUUUCAAUUUCAGAAACAAAUGAUUCCACUGAAUAGUAAGACAUUUGCCAACUGGACAAUAAUUCAUAAGGAGAGGGUUCAGAAACUGUAAGUUUUAUUAUGAAAAGGUAAGGAAAUCCAACCCUAGAUGGAGGUAACUUGGAAAGAAUGAUUGGUUAUUUUGUAUAACUCUAAAGGGCAUAACUAGGACUAACAAGUCAAAGCUUUCAGGAAGAAAAUUUCUAUAUAAUGUGCAGAAAUUUCAAACAGUUGAUCAGUUGCUUUUGUUAUUAUUGUUAGAGACAGGAUCUCACUAUGUUGCCCAGGCUUGAUUCUAACCUCCCCCACUGCCAACCCCCCGGCUCAAGCAAUCCUACUGCCUUAGCCUCUUGAGUAGCUGGGACUACGGGCACACACACACACACCACUGCACCAGGUAAAUUUCUAACAACUCAAAGUGUUAUAAAGGAAUAGGUCGCCUAGUAGCAUGGUCAGCGGUGUCUGUAAGACUUCUCGUCAGUCAGGCUGCGGUAUGGGAUUGAAGUGGAAGAUCACUAAGAAAUGGAGGGAAUGAAUUUCAGAAUGGGUGGGGGGUUUCAGGGUGUUGGGUCAAUAGCUGUCUUAUCAAUGGAGCUGAGAAUGAAAACCUAGGAAAAGUGACACUGGCUCUAGAAGGGAACUGGGCCAUCUGCCUUAUAGACCAUCUGCUAAUUUGUUGCUCAUUUAUUGGUGAAACUUGGGAAGGUAAUGGAUAUGUAUGAGCUCUCUCAGAACUUGCCUUGUUGCCUAAUGGAUAUCUUUGACUUUUCCAACUCCAAGUAUCUGUAAAAGUUCCUAAUUUCCUCAUAGACUUGUAAAACCACUCAAACCCACCAGGCCCUUAUUCUGUUUCCAAGAUCACCUUUCAGGUGUCACCGUGUUGACAAGUUAUUUGGAGCUCUAUUGACCUUGUCUCAUUAUUGGAACUUUUCUAAUAUCUUGAAUGCAGAUGGAAGGAAAGGAGACAAUAACAACAAAAAAUAAAACUGCAACAGCAUGAUUUAUUAUAGUAUAUAUUUCUCAGAAGAGACAAAAACAGCAUCAAUGAAGAGCAAUCAUAGAAGGUUCACAGUUGCCUCAGAACCAAUUCAACAAUUCAUAGGGGGUUGGCAUCACAUAAACAGCUGGGAAAAAGCAGUUAAAUGAUUUUCUACAUGCUCUUAGGGAGAGACUGUGUCUAAUCUGAUGCAGUUGCUCCAAAGGAGCGCAGCUAAUGACAUCUACACCAAAUAUCAGUUCAAUAAAUUGCUUCCUUUCAUUAAUCUGAGUGUCGGUGUCUGCAUUAACGGUGUUAACACAGCAGAAGGUCUAAAGGAGAGAUAAUAAGGACCUGUUUUUAGUGACAUGUGGGGGCGGCCCUGUGAAAACAAGCAAAUAUAUAACUGGUCCCUUGACUCUGGUGAAUCAAAACCAUUUCAUUUAUUCAUUCUGUCACUCCAAAAUUAUUCUUUGAGUGACUACUAUGUGCCUGGUCCUGGGCUAUGUCCUCAUGUACCAAUGGACAAAGGGCCUUCAGGGAGCUUAUAGUAGGUGGGGAGGAGGCAGAAGUCAUCACCUGCAUACAUAAUUGACUGUGAUGAGGGAUAAGAAGGGAAAGUAUGCAUUACUUUGAAAAAAUGCAACAGGGGAAUACCUUUAGAUGGAGACUGACCAUCUUUCUAGAAAAAUCAGGGCUUUAGGCUAGAAGAGCUUGUAGUGUAUGGGCGAUUAUGACUCCUCUGGGAGUCUAGGCGUACAUGAACAGUGUGCGUUUACUAUCAAAUCUGUAUGUGACUAUGUUUUGCAGUGGGCAGGCCUAAACAAACUUACCCCCCUCCCUCCCCAAGGCCAAGGAAGCUGAGAGGCCAAAGAUAAAAGCUAACAUAUCCAGUCUCUUAGAAAUAAGCAUUCAAUAGGGACUUGGCAAACAGAAGCCAUGUCUCUAUCUCAGGUGGCAGUGAGACAAGAUGGUGGAUCCCUACACCAUUACCCCUCAGACGCAGGGCUUAUAUGGUAUAGGGAAAGGGUGAUUCAGAAAGGAUGCAUAGGACAAUUGAAGUGCGAUAACAUCAAGACUGUUUGGCUUAAGGGCAGGAUUUACAGUAAGUAUCUGUUCUUACACAAGGAGCAAUAGAUAAACUGGAAAUUGUAGAGGCCUUCCCAGAGCUGGAUUUAAUCAGAAGCCAACAUGGAAGAUGAGCAUCCAAGAUGGAGUUGCUUUGGUCUCCACAAACUGUAUUGGGAAAAUACAACUUUCCUUACCCUGAUUAUUAUACAUUAUGGUUAGGUGCUUAUAAAUGAAGAUAAUGACCAUUUCUGUAAUCGGCAAUGUACUGUAAAUGAGAUGGAAGCACAGUGUAUCUCUGGGCAAGGUGUGUAAUAGUAAGGCCUUCCCUUUCCUUCCACCCUCAAGGCUUGGGUGGAUUAAGAAUCUCUGGUCACUAUGGCACCUUAUGACCAUUGAUGAGCAUCACUUCAAGAAAGAACUAGGACUGUCUCUGGACAGAGCAUUUUUUCUUUGAACUCUGGUGUCUGUGAGCUGGCUCACCUGAUUCGGGCGCUCUGUGGCUUCCAAGAUUCAUCUUGAGAAUCACAUCAAAAGUCCUGAAACUGACUGACCAUCAGGGGAUGCAGAAGAGAGAAGGGUGCCCUGGCUAAGCACUGGCUGCAAUGCUGGUCCAAGGGGGAGAAACUACAUGGCCAAGAAAAUGCAGCUCACUCGUGGGAAUGUCAUAGCACCUGGAGGAACUCAUAAAAUAGCAUAGGAAUAUGCCUAUACCAUUUCUGCUUCUAUUUCAUUGAGGGAGUGAAUAUGAUAAGAUGUCAUCAGGUGACUGAAUGUAUCGUUAGCAUUCUCCUCCUUAUUGAUUACAUUUAUUGAAAUCUUGUAUGUCAGGCACUGUUUUAAGCUCUGUCAUCCAUCUGUCUGUCUAAAACCUCAUUAAAUUGUCACAACUGAUUGCCAAAUGUAACUCUUCAAAACAGGAAUAUUCUAAUUUAUUUUUCUUAUAACUGGGAAGAUAUUUUUAAGUUUCCAAAAAGAAAGAGUUAAUGUUUUUAAUAAAAGGUGUUCCCAUUCCCUG